UGGGGAAUUUUGGACAAUGGGCGAAAGCCUGAUCCAGCAAUGCCGCGUGUGUGAAGAAGGCCUUCGGGUUGUAAAGCACUUUUGUCCGGAAAGAAAUCCUUGGCUCUAAUACAGUCGGGGGAUGACGGUACCGGAAGAAUAAGCACCGGCUAACUACGUGCCAGCAGCCGCGGUAAUACGUAGGGUGCAAGCGUUAAUCGGAAUUACUGGGCGUAAAGCGUGCGCAGGCGGUUUGCUAAGACCGAUGUGAAAUCCCCGGGCUCAACCUGGGAACUGCAUUGGUGACUGGCAGGCUAGAGUAUGGCAGAGGGGGGUAGAAUUCCACGUGUAGCAGUGAAAUGCGUAGAGAUGUGGAGGAAUACCGAUGGCGAAGGCAGCCCCCUGGGCCAAUACUGACGCUCAUGCACGAAAGCGUGGGGGAGCAAACAGGAUUAGAUACCCUGGUAGUCCACGCCCUAAACGAUGUCAACUAGUUGUUGGGGAUUCAUUCCUUAGUAACGUAGCUAACGCGUGAAGUUGACCGCCU
rnacentral:rRNA from 1 species